CAGGGCUUCCCCUUAGGGAAGAGUGCAGCUGCUCACAGCUGCAGGGUUACACCUGUGGCCUGAUCCAUGGAAAGGAGGGCUGACAGCUGCUUUGGUAGCACCCAGCACUGCGCACCAAGAAGGAAUAACAAUUUCUUUUCACUAGCUGCUUUUCAGUGUCUUCUCUGCUGGGCACGUGAAGCUCAUCUGGACCACAAAGCCUGCAUACAGAAAGCUGCUCUCCUCUGUCUGAGCCCUGACCCUGCUCCACCAGCUGUAAACAGGGCUGCAUGCAGUCUUCCGUGGGCCAGAAACACUGACCUGGG
rnacentral:lncRNA from 1 species